AGCCAGUGUUGCCAGACACUUCCACGGGCUGAACGUAGCCUGUAACUUUCCCUCUGCGUGCCUGUAUGUGCCGCCCGCUUCUUUUCUUCCUGUUAUGCUAUCUCAAGUUCUGAGAGAGUGUGGGGACAGUGCCUGUGACACUCUGCAGAGUUGUUCUCGGGGGUUGACAUCAUGACACCGUCAUCACGGGCGAGUCGGUCUUGAUAAUAUUUGUACCAAUUUCAUGCCAAUAAAAGUCAGACUGCCGAAACACGCACGGUCAUUAUCUCAUUCAUAUUACUAUUGUUUAAUCGGAGAAGGCUGCAAAGGGAGAGAGACAGCCUGCCUUGCUUCCAGCAGUGGCUGUUAACUUUGAUAUUGGACCCUCUUCUGACCAUUUUCACUGUGGGUAAUUGGGGUGGCAGCAAGCUCCGGCACUGGGGUUGGCAGAGCCAUGUUACUCUAGGGCUCUUCAGGAGAAAUGACUUUCAAACACAUGGUAUGAGCUUUUUAAAAAUGGUUCCACCUUUUCCUGCCCUGGUCCACCCUCUGGCCUCUCUUCCCUCCCUCUCCACCCCUCUCCCCCUGUUCUUCAGCUUCACUGUAAUUGGCAAGCCAGGUGCUAUUUUUUUUUUUUUAAGCUAUGUACUGAUGAGGGAAUAGACAGGAAGUAGAAAAUUGGCUCUUUUGAUCUUAAGAGAAUUGCUAUUAUUCUGAACUUGGUUAGUCCUCAGACUAAAUAUCCAUAAACUUCAAUGUUUUCAACAGUAUCUGUUAAUAGAGAAAGAAAUAGAAUUUUCAUACUUGUCCAGACCAUCUAAUAGGAGAAACAGCCACACAAAUAAACAAGUCUUGGUUUCUGUGUGUACUGCUGUGUCUGAGAUGGCUGUUUUUAAUGUCCAGAAGUUGUUCUGCUUUGCGAGGGGGAGAGGGGCGCUGUUUGUGACUGCCUUAAGGACAAUUUGUUUAACAGUAGGAGUAAUUGUGGGGAAGAUGGAAAGAGUGAGCUGGGCUAUUUACUCAGAUGGUGGAGUAGGUGUGGGGGCCGAGCAGCAGUGUGGGAACAGUGGGCCGCUCAGCCUGCUAUCUCAGCCUGCUUGAUGACCGGCGCAUUUCCCAGCUCGCUGGUUCUGUUUUUUCUGGAUGGCAUGUUUGAUUAUUUAUCAGAAGGGAAGGGAGGCGGUGAGGCAAAUAAACAUGUGACCAACGUCUGUUUUGUUUUCCACUCUGAAAGCCAUGCCCUUUACCAGAUACACAGAAAAUAAUAAAUGCAUUGUUUUAGCAUAAAAGGAAAUUAUACAUGUCUAUUUUUUUUUAAAAAAAAGACAACUGAGUUAACCCUUUAGGCUCAGGAGCUUGCUCUCUCUUUCCUUCCUUCUGUCUGUCUGUCUGUCUGUCUGUCUUUUAAAUUUCCUUCUGAUACUUUGUCAUGCUUUGUAAUAAGAAUGACUCUAUUGCUUUGUAUGGAUACAGUUUCUCGGGAUGAUUUGUUCAGUGGUUUGUAGAUGCCUUCUUCAGUGGCAUCAGACUACCACACUGGGAUAUGUUGUGGCUCACUUUAAUAGGAACCCUCCCAUAGUAAUAAUGAAUAGCUGUUAGAGUUGUGUCGAAGGCAAACAUAUUUAUUUAUUUAUCUGUCAGUAUUUGCAUACUCUGUCUGGUACUGGGGAUUGAACCCAGGGCCUCAUCUACAUUGCUCCUCUAGCUGUAUUUCAUCCAUACCCUGUUUGGGAGAGGGGUUCAAUCCCAACCCUGAACAGCUCAGCUAAAGACACAUGCAUCUUCAGUGUCUGCGGCUAGUGAAGAAGAGAGUUUAAUGCCAGCCAGUCGUUGGCUCCUCCCUGAAGGCUGUCACAUGCUGUGAGACAAAAGGUCUACUAGGGCCUCUGUGUCCAUCAAAAGUUCCUUUUAGGGCUGGAAAUAGUUGGGCACUUGCCUAGCAUAUGUAAGGCUCAAAGUAGAAUCCCUAACACUGCCAAAUGGUGUGUGUGUGUGUGUGUGUGUGUGUGUGUGUGUGUGUGUGUGUGAGAGAGAGAGAGAGAGAGAGAGAGAGAGAGAGAGAGAUUAUGCUAUAUAAUACUAGUCUCUGCAAUCAUAUAAUAUUUUCCACAGUUUUAAAGAUUGUUAUAUUCUUCCAAGUACUCCAGAGUCCAAGAGAAAGUCCCAAGCCUAAAUCCAGUGUAGAUUUAAAACAAGCCUGCUAAUAUUCUCUUUGUAUUUUAUUCUCUCAGUUUUCAAGUGGGGUUGGCCUGGUGGCCUGUGGACAUUCUCUGGGCAUAGGUACACCUGCCAGCACCUUCUGUAGAAAAGGAGGCAGGGUUCUCAAAGAUCCACCCUCACUCAGACUCAUCCUGUAACCGAGAUGUGCAUGGUCCUAACCUGGUGACUGGCCCAGGCAGAGGCAGCCCUGUAAAUCACAGCUGAAAUCUGUGUGUUUGCCUAUACUGUUUGGGAAUGUGAACGGAAAGUAUGCACACAGAGGGAUUCCCUCUUCAUUGCCUAUAUAAGGGAAGAGUGCAGCCAAGUUCAGAUACAGCAUGGCUUCCACUUGGCUGGCCCUGCCUUGAGCUUGGGAGCGGUGGGGAGCUUUGCUUCUGGGAACCAGUAACUCGUUUGCCUCCCCCCUUGUCAUCUUGGGUACUCCACAAAGGUCGUUGGGUUGGAUAAUCAUACUUUGUAGUUCUACAGAGCCCUUUGUCUGUAGAAAUCAAAGUGCCUGACUAAUGUGAACUUGUUGAUACUCGGAACACCCUUGGGACAUCAGUUGGCUGAAGGUGAUCCCACUUUUGAGGUGGGAAAAACGUCCUGUUGUUAAAAUAGUUUACAGUUCCCGGGUGUGUCUGUGUGAGUGCCUAGACUGGACCUGCCCAUGGAUGACUGGGAGAGUAGGAGAAACAUUUUUCCCCCUUCAGACAGGCUACUUCUGACUACAGAUCACCUCAUGAGAAAAUGUUCUGGCUUGAAAAAAACUGGCCCACAAAGUAUAGCUAAUUUGUGAUGGGAUGGGAACAGACAAUAAGGCCAGGUCCUGCUAAAUUCUCGUCUAUUUAUGGUCAGAGUUGGAGUGCAAUUUUUUAAUUUUUAAUAGUCAAUAUAGCUGAAAAUCUUAAACUAAGAAUGUUAUUGGAGACUUAACC
rnacentral:lncRNA from 1 species